rnacentral:rRNA from 1 species
AUUGAACGCUGGAGGCAUGCCUUACACAUGCAAGUAGAACGGUAACAGGUCUUCGGAUGCUGACGAGUGGCGAACGGGUGAGUAAUACAUCGGAACGUGCCUAGUAGUGGGGGAUAACUACUCGAAAGAGUGGCUAAUACCGAAUGAGAUCUACGGAUGAAAGCAGGGGAUAGCAAGACUUUGUGCUACUAGAGCGGCCGAUGGCAGAUUAGGUAGUUGGUGGGAUAAAAGCUUACCAAGCCGACGAUCUGUAGCUGGGCUGCGAGGACGAUCAGCCAGACUGGGACUGAGACACGGCCCAGACUGCUACGGGAGGCAGCAGUGGGGAAUUUUGGACAAUAGGCGCAAGCCUUAUUCAGCGAUGCCGCGUGCAGGAUGAAGGCCUUCGGGUUGUAAACUGCUUUUGUACGGAACGAAAAGCCCCGGGUUAAUACCCUGGGGUCAUGACGGUACCGUAAGAAUAAGCACCGGCUAACCACGUGCCAGCCGCCGCCGUAA